ensembl:lncRNA
GGAUAAAAAACCAUUGAUAAAAAGAGCCAUUUGCCUCCCUUCUUGUUCCCUCUUUGAGAUUCUGGAUGAAGCUGCUCUUUCUGGUGUCUGCUGCUUUUCUGUUUCCUGUUCGCAGAUUGUCACUGCUGCCAGACUGCUUCUGAAAUGAUCUCCCCCGCCUUCCAAGGGAUGUUACCACCUCUUCAUUCUGUCCCUGCUGCCUGAAUCGACCUGCCAUCCAUCGCUGAGCAGUUUCCCAGACUCAUACUUGGUUUCAAGGUCCUUUGUUAGUUUUCUCCUGUCUUCGAGCUGUCUCCAGCCUCCUGGUGCUUCAGUGUGGCCUCAGCUUAGAGAAAUGGGUAAGACUCGCUCCAGUGCAUUGUCCCAGUCCUGUCCUGGCCCAGGCUUGCACCUGGA